rnacentral:rRNA from 1 species
GACGAACGCUGGCGGCGUGCUUAACACAUGCAAGUCGAACGGAAAGGCCCUGCUUUUGUGGGGUGCUCGAGUGGCGAACGGGUGAGUAACACGUGAGUAACCUGCCCUUGACUUUGGGAUAACUUCAGGAAACUGGGGCUAAUACCGGAUAGGAGCUCCUGCUGCAUGGUGGGGGUUGGAAAGUUUCGGCGGUUGGGGAUGGACUCGCGGCUUAUCAGCUUGUUGGUGGGGUAGUGGCUUACCAAGGCUUUGACGGGUAGCCGGCCUGAGAGGGUGACCGGCCACAUUGGGGCUGAGGUACGGGCCAGACUCCUACGGGGGGCAGCAGGGGGGAAUAAUGCACAAUGGGGGGAAGCCUUAUGCAGCAACGCCGGGUGCGGGAUGACGGCCUUCGGGUUGUAAACCGCUUUCGCCUGUGACGAAGCGUGAGUGACGGUAAUGGGUAAAGAAGCACCGGCUAACUACGUG